rnacentral:rRNA from 1 species
CCUACGGGAGGCAGCAGUAGGGAAUUUUCGUCAAUGGGCGCAAGCCUGAACGAGCAAUGCCGCGUGAACGAGGAAGGUCUUCGGAUCGUAAAGUUCUGUUGAAGGGGAAAAAGAGCGGAGAGAGGAAAUGGUCUCCGAUUGAUAUUACCCUUCGAGGAAGUCACGGCUAACUACGUGCCAGCAGCCGCGGUAAUACGUAGGUGGCGAGCGUUAUCCGGAAUGAUUGGGCGGAAAGGGUGCGUAGGCGGCCUGCUAAGUCUGGAGUGAAAGGUACCGGCUCAACCGGUACAGGCUCUGGAAACUGGCGGGCUAGAGAGGAGGAGAGGGCGGUGGAACUCCAUGUGUAGCGGUAAAAUGCGUAGAUAUAUGGAAGAACACCAGUGGCGAAGGCGGCCGCCUGGCCUGUUGACUGACGCUGAGGCACGAAAGCGUGGGGAGCAAAUAGGAUUAGAUACCCCGGUAGUC